GCCCAGGUGGUGAAAUUGGUAGACACGCUAGCUUGAGGGGCUAGUGGCCGCAAGGCCGUGCUGGUUCGACUCCAGUCUUGGGCA
rnacentral:tRNA from 1 species